GCUUGCAAUCCGCUGACGAGUGGCGCACGGGUGCGUAACGCGUAUAGAACCUACCCUUUACAGGGGGAUAGCCCGGAGAAAUUCGGAUUAAUACCCCAUGGUAAUGCUUCGGGGCAUCCUGAAGUGUUUAAAGUUUCGGCGGUAAAGGAUGGCUAUGCGUCUUAUUAGUUAGUAGGUGAGGUAACGGCUCACCUAGACAGCGAUAAGUAGGGGCCCUGAGAGGGGGAUCCCCCACACUGGUACUGAGACACGGACCAGACUCCUACGGGAGGCAGCAGUGAGGAAUAUUGGACAAUGGUCGAGAGACUGAUCCAGCCAUGCCGCGUGCAGGAAGACGGCCCUAUGGGUUGUAAACUGCUUUUUUACGGGAAGAAUAAUGCCCACGUGUGGGCAGAUGACGGUACCGUAGGAAUAAGGACCGGCUAACUCCGUGCCAGCAGCCGCGGUAAUACGGAGGGUCCGAGCGUUAUCCGGAAUCAUUGGGUUUAAAGGGUCCGCAGGCGGGUCAGUAAGUCAGGGGUGAAAGUUUGCGGCUUAACCGUAAAAUUGCCAUGGAUACUGGGGAUCUUGAAUUCAGUUGAGGUUGGCGGAAUUUAUGGUGUAGCGGUGAAAUGCAUAGAUACCAUAAAGAACACCUAUUGCGAAGGCAGCUAACUGGACUUGAAUUGACACUGAGGUACGAAAGCGUGGGGAGCGAACAGGAUUAGAUACCCUGGUAGUCCACGCCGUAAACUAUGGAUACUCGUUGUUGGCGAUAUACUGUCAGUGACCAAGCGAAAGCGUUAAGUAUCCCACCUGGGAGUACGCUCGCAGAGUGA
rnacentral:rRNA from 1 species